AGUAACUUUUUAUACAUAAAAAGCUCCUGUAGCUCCCCCAUUUCCAACAACCACACCUUCUCCCGCCCCUCUUUCUUCUGCACAUCGACUACCAUCAACAAAUUAAGCAAAACUACAAGUUCUCACUUCCCAGGUUCUGAUUUGUAAAUUGUGGAGGGUUCCGAGUUCGAUUUGUAAACAUAGGCAAUGAUGCGGCUUCUAUUGGAAACUAGGGUUCCGAUUUGAAAAUGAUUUUUCUUAAUCAGUGGAAAUAUCAAUUGAUUCAUCCUUCACAUCUCCAUCCAUCUGCGUUCUGUUUUGGAUUUCGAAGGGCUGCGUUCUGUAAGCUUAUUUUAUUCAAACAGUGAAUCAAAAACAACCUUCACUACUGGGUACUGACUGAAGGUUGCACCAAUCAAACAGGCCCACUUUGGAUUAUUAAAGCUUUGUUGAGAUACCUAUCUUCGGAAGAUGAUAGCGAUGAUGAUCUUGAUGAGGAUGUCGAAGAACAAUGUACUCGCAAACGUCGUAAAUUUAUUCGACGCAAUCAUAUUCAGGGACAUGAGCGUUUAUAUCGUGAUUAUUUUGCAGAAAAUCCAGUAUAUCCCUCGAAUCUGUUUCGACGGAGAUUUCGGAUGAGUCGUCCUCUAUUUCUCCGUAUUCUAAAUGAGGUUGUGGCUAACGAGCCAUACUUCGUCCAAAGAAGAGAUAAUAUCGGAAGACUCGGUUUAUCUUCUAUGCAAAAGAUAAUAUCGGAAGACUCGGUUAUAUUAGAUUGUUUUGUGAAUGUUAUGAGUUGGGUUUAGAAAUAUGUUAUGCGAUGUUCAUUAGAAUUAUAUAUGUAUGACUAGAACUUAUUAGCUCAACUUUUGUUAAAUGUGAAGGUUUAUGUUUAUCGAUUGUUCUG